rnacentral:piRNA from 1 species
CCAAUUGAGUUCCUGGAAAAUGC